rnacentral:rRNA from 1 species
UAUGGUGACUUUUGCGGUGGUGUUCACCUCUUCCCAUUCCGAACAGAGAAGUUAAGCCCACCCGCGCAGAUGAUACUCGAUUUAGUUCCGGGAAAGUAUGUCGUCGCCAAAU